UUCCUUUCUGGUUGGCAUCCCCUCACUUGAGAUGACGCCGAAUUGAUGGCACAGUAACUAAGGCUAUAUUGCCAGUUAAUUUUCGUUUAUAGUCCAGUGGACUUUCUUUUCACUUGACUACAAGCGAAAAUCUCGCUGUGUGUGUGUGUGUGUGUACGGCUGAAAAUCCUUUCUUUCUUGCGAAAUACUCGAAUUUUCCCCGGACUAACACGAUGCAACGUGCUCACCCGUUGAGAGUUUCACCGGAAGUGGAAUAUCAUUACUUAGUCAUCACGUACAUUGAAAUUUAUGUUACUGCAGAUUGAAAUAAAAGUGUUGUCUACAAUCGUUUCUUUUGUUUUUGAUGUGGGAGAAGCUAAGUGUUUUCAGUUGAUUAUUGUUUUCUAUAAACUGUAAAUGAAGUAAAUAUGAAGUGCACAACAUUGUUGUCGAACCGAAACAGUUCGAAAAGUUCAGAUCAGAUAAUUACUUUUAUAUGGAUAGUAAUUGAAGAAUCCAGCAGAAACUCCUGCGUUCAUAGUGGUAGAAAUUUGAACUACACGAUGGUGAUGUUUUUAAAAAAACCAGAGCAGUUUUUAAGUUUCCGGAAAAUUUUCGUGAUUUUUUAGUUGAUGUAUAAAUUUCAUUGGAAAAUAAUGGACGAAUCAGAGUUGGAACCGGUGACGGAGAACAUUCUUGUUCGCCUUGAAGACAUACUUGAAUAUGUGGGCGAUUCUGUUAGGCCGAUUAGAUAAGGAUUAGCCGUAUUGAGUGCCAACCACAUUGUGUAUAUAGGCUAUACCGGACGAUCUAGUGCACAUGUUCUUGUUAAAGGAUACGUAUUGCAAAGCUGGCACCCAGGAGGAAUACCACACGAAGUUUCUUCAAAAAUUUGUGACAAUCAUCCGUUAUGGGAUCUGAAUUGCUUAUGUAAAGCUGGUACGAGGCGAUGUAAACACAUUGUGGCCUGUUUGCUGCGGAUUAAUCAAUUCAAAAGACUCGAACACAUUUCUUGUACGGAUGCAGUACAAGCUUGGGGCUGCUCAAAAAUUGAAAAAAUAAGUCUAUGGGGUGCUAAGCCGAUUGCAGACUUAUGUUGUGUGAGACACAGGAAAUUAAUCGUUUGCAGUGAUGUUAAUAUGAAAGAAACGCUGCUGUCAGAUGUCCUGAUGAAAAUAUUAGCAGUUUCACCGCAGUCUGCAAUCAGCAAACACAUGAUUGGACGUCACACAAAUGUAAUCGAUUUUCGUACCGGCAUAAGUUCAAAUACUUGUACAAACAAUGGUGCAUACUGCACCGAGCAGGAACUGAAUGCUACUUUUUUGGCGAAAACCUAAUCAAAAAAUCUAGUGAAAAAUACUACUUUCAUCAAUCAAAUCAAAACUUCUACGAAAAAUUUGUGUGUGUGACGAAACAACAGAUUUUGAAUAUUGCGAUGGAAACUUGUGCACAAAACAACGAAACUUGGAAAGCACAGCGAUCUUUGCGUAUAACAGCAAGUUCAUGCUAUGGAUUGUAUACAUACUCUAAGAACUCGAAACCCGAUUGGGACACAAAAAUACAACAAUUUUUAAAACCAAGAAACUUUGAAACGAAAUGUAUGCGCUAUGGAAAGCAAACAGAGGGAAAGGCAUUCUUGUGCUAUGUACAAAAAAGAAAUCCUUUUAUGAAAAAGACUGGAUUUAUUAUUAAAUACCAGGAUCCAUGGAUAGGAGGUAGUCCAGACGGGUUAAACAGCGUAUCAGCGGUUAUUUUAGAAAUAAAAUGUCCAGUUUCAGGACAAGAGCACAGUUUAGAUUGGAUAUUAAUAAACUGUUUAGCGACACAACGAUAUGUGAAGAUUGAUGAAAAUAAAAAAUAUUACUUAAACAAGAAACAUGCAUAUUACGCACAAUGUCAGAUUAACAUGUAUGUUUUGAAUUGUAGAUUAACAGAUUUUAUAAUUUAUUCGGAACAAGAGAAUGACUUUGUUAAUAUAGAGGUUAGUUUUGAUGAAUGUUUCGUUGUAGAACUAUUGCGUGUAUUGAAGAAGAUUUAUUUCUGUGAAAUUUUGCCAAAACUGUGUAGAAAAUAAUGCUACCUUUAAAUGUUUUUUAAAGACUAAAAAAUUGAAAGAAAAUAUCCC